UACGUAGGGUCCGAGCGUUGUCCGGAAUUACUGGGCGUAAAGAGCUCGUAGGUGGUUUGUCGCGUUGUUCGUGAAAACUCACAGCUCAACUGUGGGCGUGCGGGCGAUACGGGCAGACUUGAGUACUGCAGGGGAGACUGGAAUUCCUGGUGUAGCGGUGAAAUGCGCAGAUAUCAGGAGGAACACCGGUGGCGAAGGCGGGUCUCUGGGCAUUAACUGACGCUGAGGAGCGAAAGCAUGGGGAGCGAACAGG
rnacentral:rRNA from 1 species